UCGUGCUUUUCAGCAAUCUACUGAUGCAGCCUGCCGCGUGCAGGAAGACGGUCUUCGGGUGUAAACUUCUUUUAUAUCCGAAGUAAUGACGCUACUAUAUGAAUAAGCACCGGCUAACUCCGUGCCAGCAGGCGCGGGAAUACUAAAGCCCCCGCGCCGCAAUAAUAGG
rnacentral:rRNA from 1 species